AUAGCGUAUAUUAAAGUUGUUGCAGUUAAAAAGCUCGUAGUUGGAUUUCUGUUUUGAGCGUCCGGUCCGCUCCUUUGGAGUGUGUUACUAGGAUGUUUGAGACAUUUUUUGUGAGGAUGUCUUUCUGCCAUUCAGUUGGUGGUUUGAUAGACUUGCAUCGUUUACUGUGAAAAAAUUAGAGUGUUUAAAGCAGGCGUUUGCUCAUUGAAUACAUUAGCAUGGAAUAAUAAGAUACGACCUUGGUGGUCUAUUUUGUUGGUUUGCACACCAGGGUAAUGAUUAAUAGGGACAGUUGGGGGUAUUCAUAUUUCAGCGUCAGAGGUGAAAUUCUUGGAUCGCUGAAAGAUGAGCUUAGG
rnacentral:rRNA from 1 species